rnacentral:rRNA from 1 species
AGUGAACGCUGGCGGUAGGCCUAACACAUGCAAGUCGAACGGCAGCACAGUAAGAGCUUGCUCUUACGGGUGGCGCGUGGCGGACGGGUGAGGAAUACAUCGGAAUCUACUUUUUCGUGGGGGCUAACGUAGGGAAACUUACGCUAAUACCGCAUACGACCUACGUGUGAAAGCAGGGGAUCUUCGGACCUUGCGCGAUUGAAUGAGCCGAUGUCGGAUUCGCUAGUUGGCGGGUUAAAGGCCCACCAAGGCGACGCUCCGUAGCUGGUCUGAGAGGAUGAUCCACCACACUGGAUCUGAGACACGGCACAGACUCCUACAGGAGGCAGCAGUGGGGAAUAUUGCACAAUGGGCGCGAGCCUGAUCCAGCCAUACCGCGUGGAUGAAGAAGGACUUCGGGUUGGAAAGCGCUGUUGUUGGGAGGGAAAAGAAGCUGUUUAAUACCCGGCUGUUCUGACGGUACCCAAAGAAUAAGCCCCGGCUAACUUCGUG